ensembl:lncRNA
GUGCAUCUGUUUUUUCAGCUCAUUAGUGUGUGCCUCUGUGUGUGUGUGUGUGUGUGUCUGUGUGUGUGUGUGUGUGAGACUUUAAUGUACUGUAGGGUCUUCUUCAGAAGAGGUUACCACUGACACACCUUAGCUGAUGGCCAGAAAGGUAAACUUCAAAGUGUGUGUGUGUGUGUGUGUGUGUGUGUGUGUGUGUGUGUGUGUGUGUGUGUGUGUGUGUGUGUGUGUGUGUGUUUCUAUAUAUAUAUGUGUGUGUACUUUAAAGCAAACACACUACUGAGAGAUGCUCUUUGUCCAACAGGAGGAAGUGGGCAGAGCCAACCUGAAGACUUUCCGCAGCCUCUCAGUGGAAGAAGAGCAGACUCAACACUUCCUUAUGAGAGAACGUGAGGAGAGUAUUGAUCUGCCAUGUCUAAAAUUUCCUGACCAUCCAGAGGAGCUGAUCACUCAUCCAGUUAUUAAAUCAGGCUGGCUCGAUAAAACUCCCCCCAAAGGGGGGAGGAGGUUUCAGAAGCGCUGGGUUCAACUGGAUUCUGAGUAUCUGAGAUAUUUUCAAAACAAUAAGGUU